rnacentral:rRNA from 1 species
GACGAACGCUGGCGGCGUGCCUAAUACAUGCAAGUAGAACGCUGAAGCUUGGUGCUUGCACCGAGCGGAUGAGUUGCGAACGGGUGAGUAACGCGUAGGUAACCUGCCUGGUAGCGGGGGAUAACUAUUGGAAACGAUAGCUAAUACCGCAUAAGAGUAGAUGUUGCAUGACAUUUGCUUAAAAGGUGCAAUUGCAUCACUACCAGAUGGACCUGCGUUGUAUUAGCUAGUUGGUGAGGUAACGGCUCACCAAGGCAACGAUACAUAGCCGACCUGAGAGGGUGAUCGGCCACACUGGGACUGAGACACGGCCCAGACUCCUACGGGAGGCAGCAGUAGGGAAUCUUCGGCAAUGGACGGAAGUCUGACCGAGCAACGCCGCGUGAGUGAAGAAGGUUUUCGGAUCGUAAAACUCUGUUGUAAGAGAAGAACGAGUGUGAGAGUGGAAAGUUCACACUGUGACGUAUCUACCAGAAAGGC